ACUCCUACGGGAGGCAGCAGUAAGGAAUCUUCCACAAUGGGCGCAAGCCUGAUGGAGCAACACCGCGUGAGUGAAGAAGGGUUUCGGCUCGUAAAGCUCUGUUGUUAAAGAAGAACACGUAUGAGAGUAACUGUUCAUACGUUGACGGUAUUUAACCAGAAAGUCACGGCUAACUACGUGCCAGCAGCCGCGGUAAUACGUAGGUGGCAAGCGUUAUCCGGAUUUAUUGGGCGUAAAGAGAGUGCAGGCGGUUUUCUAAGUCUGAUGUGAAAGCCUUCGGCUUAACCGGAGAAGUGCAUCGGAAACUGGAUAACUUGAGUGCAGAAGAGGGUAGUGGAACUCCAUGUGUAGCGGUGGAAUGCGUAGAUAUAUGGAAGAACACCAGUGGCGAAGGCGGCUACCUGGUCUGCAACUGACGCUGAGACUCGAAAGCAUGGGUAGCGAACAGGAUUAGAUACCCUGGUAGGAUAGCG
rnacentral:rRNA from 1 species